GUGCGUGGCGUGUCCGCUGGACCAGGGGACGGGGGCGCGCCGCAGGUGUAGGAGCUUUGCGCGCCUACCUGGCGGUCGUGGGUCGAGGAGGGGUCAAGAAUUGUUGUCUAGCAGCCCUCUCCCCGCUGCCCUGUCCUGGCCGAGGCAAAGGCCGCGUGCGCUCCGCGUCUGCCAGGCUUUAGGGCUGCGCGGACACUGGGUGGGUGGUGGGCCGAGGCGACCGGAAGGUCCUGGCCGCCUUUCCGGUCUCCUCAGCACCCUGGAGCGCCGCCCUCGGGUUUCGGUCUCCUGGAUCUGCGGGUCGGUCUCGGCGGGCGGAUUACUCCUCGCCCACAACCUCGAGGCCCCGGGGUCAACCGCGCCCUCCGGGCCGGCAACCCAGGGUUUAGUCAGAUUCCUCCUGACCCACCGCUUCUGGGAAAGAGGCGCCUCCCGUCAGGAGGAUGCUGAGUUCCUCAUGACUGGACCAGUGAGUGUCCACUCCCUGGUCCCUGGCGAGAGAGGCGGGACCCCCACGCCCUCCUGGCGCUCUUUGCAGAGAUGUUCCUCAGGCCCAAUCCGGGAUUUGGGAUGUCUGUGCGUGCUGUGGAGCAGAGAGUUUGCAACAUGGUCUCACUUUGUCACCCAGGCUGGAAUGCAUUGGCAUGAACACGUCUCACUGCAGCCUCAACCUCCCAGGCUGAAGUGACCCUCCAACUCUGCUUUCACAGUAGCUGUGAUAUGGUUUGGCUGUGUCCCCACCCACAUCUCAUCUUAAAACCCAGUGGGAGGUAAUUGAAUCAUGGGGGCAAGUCUUUCCUGUGCUGUUCUUGUGAUAGUGAAUAAGUCUCAUGAGAUCUGAUGGUUUUUAAAAGAGUUCUGGCUGGGCAUGGUGGUGGGCACCUGUAAUCCAAACUACUAGGGAGGCUGAGGCAGAGUGAAUUGCUUGAACCUGGGAGAAGGAGGUUGCAGUGAGCCGAGAUUGCACCGCUGCACUCCAGCCUGGGCAAAAUUGAAGACUCUGUCUCCAAAAAAAAAAAAAAGGAGUUCCUCUGCAUAAGCUCUCUCUCUUUGCCUGCUGCCAUCCAUGUAAGAUGUGACUUGCUCUUCCUUGCCCUAUGAUUGUGAGUCUUUCCCCAGCCACGUGGAACUGUAAGUCCAAAUAAACCUCUUUCUUUUGUAAAUUGCCCAGUCUUGGGUAUGUCUAUCAGCAGCAUGGAAAUGGACUAAUACAGUAAAUUGGUACCAGUAGAGUGGGGUGUUGCUGAAAAGAUACCUGAAAAUGUGAAAGUGACUUUGGAACUGGGUAGCAGGCAAACAUUGGAACAGUUUGGAGGGCUCAGAAGAAGACAGGAAAAUGUAGGAAAGUUUGGAACUUCCUAGAGACUUGUUGAAUGGCAUUGACAAAAAUGCUAAUAGUGAUACGAACAAUAAGAUCCAGUCUGAGGUGGUCUCAGAUGGAGAUGAGGAACUUGUUGGGAACUGGAGCAAAGGUGACUCUUGUUAUGUUUUAGCAAAGAGACUGGUGACAUUUUGCCCCUGCCCGAGAGAUUUGUGGAACUUUGAACUUGAGGGAGAUGAUUUAGGGUAUCUGGUGGAAGACAUUUCUUUUUUUUUUUUUGUGACGGAGUCUUGCAUUGUCGCCUGGGGUGGAGUGCAAUGGUCUGAUCUCAGCUUACUGGGUUCAAGCAAUUCUGUCUCAGCCUCCCGAGUAGCUGGGAUUACAGGCGUCCGCCACCACGCCCUUCUAAUUUUUUGUAUUUUUAGUAGAGACGGUUUCACUAUGUUGGCCAGUGGAAGACAUUUCUAAGCAGCAAAGCAUUCAAGAGGUGGCUUGGGUGUUGUUAAAGGCAUUCUGUUUUGACUGGGUGCGGUGGUGCACACCUAUAAUCCCAGCACUUUGGGAGGCCGAGGAGGGUGGAUCAAGAGGUCAGGAGUUCAAGACCAGCCUGGCCAAUAUGGUGAAACCCUGUCUCUACUGGAAAUACAAAAAUUAGCUUGGCAUGGUGGUGUGCGCCUGUAGUCCCAGCUUCUCGGGAGGCUGAGGCAGGAGAAUCGCCUGGACCCGGGAGGUGGAGGUUCCAUUGAGCCAAGAUCAUGCCACUGACUCCAGCCUGGGCAACAGACUGAGACUCUGUCUCAAAAAAAAAGAAAAAAAAAAAGGCAUUCAGUUUUAUAAGGGAAGCAGAGCAUAAAAGUUUGGGAAAUUUGCAGCCUGACAAUGUGAUAGUAAAGAAAAUCCCAUUUUCUGAGAGGAAAUUCAAGCUGGCUGCAAAAAUUUGCAUAAGUACCAAGGAGCCGAAUGUUAAUAUCCAAGACAAUGGGGAAAAUAUCUCCCAGACAUGUCAGAGGUCUUCAUGGCAGCCCCUCCCAUCAACAGGUCCAGAGGCCUAGGAGGAAAAAGUGGUUUUGUGGGCAGCACCCAGGGUCCCCAUGCUAUGUGCAGCCUAGGGACUUGGUGCCGUGCGUCUCAGCUCCUCCAGUGGUGACUGAAAGGGGCCAACAUAGAGCUCGGGCUGCUGCUUCAUGGGGUGGAAGUCCCAAAUCUUGGCAGCUUCCAUGUGGUGUUGAGCCUGCGAGUACAUAGAAGUCAAGAAUUGGGGUUUGGGAACCUCCAUCUAGAUUUCAGAAGAUAUAUGGAAAUUCCUGGAUGCCCAGGCAGAAGUUUGCUGUAGGGGUGGGGCCUUCAUGGAGAACCUCUGCUAGAGCAGUGCAGAAGGGAAAUGUGGGGUCGGAGCCCCCACACAGAGUCCCCGCUGCGGCCCUGCCUGAUGGAGCUGUGAGAAGUGGACCACCGUUCUCCAGACCCCAGAAUGGUAGAUCCACCGACAGCUUGCACCGUGUGCCUGGAAAAGCUGCAGACACUCAAUGCCAGCCUAUGAAAGCAGCCUGGAGGGAGGCUUUACCCUGCAAAGCCACAGAAGUGGAGCUGCCCAAGACCAUGGGAAUCCACCUCUUGCAUCAGUGUGACCUGGAUGUGAGACAUGGAGUCAAAGGAUAUCAUUUUGAAGCUUUAAGAUUUGACUGCCCUGCUGGAUUUCAGACUUGCAUGGGUCCUGUAGCCCCUUUGUUUUGGCCAAUUUCUCCCAUUUGGAAUGGCUAUAUUUACCCAAUGCUUAUACCACCAUUCUAUCUAGGAAGUAAAUAACUUGCUUUUGAUUUUACAGGCUCAUAGGCAGAAGGGAUUUGCCUUGUCUCAGAUGAGACUUUGGACUGCGGACUUUUGAGUUAAUGCUGAAAUGAGUUAAGACUUCGGAGGACUAUUGGGAAGGCAUGAUUGGUUUUGAAAUGUGAGGACAUGAGAUUUGGGAGGGGCCAGGGGUGGAAGGAUACGGUUGGGUUCUGUGUCCCCACCCAAGUCUUAUCUUGUAGCUCCCAUAACCCAUGUGUCUUGGGAGGGACCUGGUAAUUCAAUCAUGUGGGCUGGAUGCGGUUGCUCAUGCCUGUAAUCCCAGCACUUUGGGAGGCCAAGGGGGAGAUCACUUGCGAUCAGGAGUUUGAGACCAGCCUGGCCAACAUGGUGAAACCCCAUCUAUACUAAAAAUACAAAAAUUAGCCAGGCACGGUGGUGGGCACCUGUAAUCUCAGCCUCCCGUGUAGCAGGCAUUGUCACAGGCGCCUGCCACCACACCCACCUAAUUUUUUUGUAUUUUUAGUAGAGACGGGGUUUCACCGUGUUAGCCAGGGUGGUAUCGAUCUCCUGACCUUGUGAUCCGCCCACCUUGGGCUCCCAAAGUGUUGAGAUUACAGGCGUAAGCCACUGCACCCGGCAAUAAACCUCUUUCUUUUGUAAAUUGCCCAGGUAUGUCUUUAUCAGCAGCAUGAAAAUGGACUCAUACAAUGAUCCAUUACCUAGGGUAAAAUUCUCCUGAAUGUCAAACAGAGAUAAACUACAUUUGGGUUUUGGGUAAGUCCCCUGUAAUGAUGAAUCAAGAAUCCUCAAGUCUGUCUUGCCACCCAUUUAAUACGUAUUUUUGUUAAGGCUGAAGUUUAGAGUUAGAAUCAGGACAUUUUGGCCUAUUGAGAGGUUCUGAAUUCCAACAGAAGAUGCCAUGUAAAUCAGUGAAUUUGAUUCUUUUAAAAGCAACUUACAAAAUUUACAAGAUGUAUUCAAUAAAGCAGUUUAGCUUUGGUAUAUCAAACCUUAUAAUGAACCAUUUUUCCCACUUCAUCUUAUGCAAUGUUUAAUAUUUUCUAUUUUUGUCAAGGAUAUUAAACCUACACCUGGAAACAUAUUAAAUGCCAACUUAAAAUGUGAGAAGUUUGGCAGAACUCAGACCCAUUCUUCCAAUUUCCAAGCUGUUUAAUCACACUGAUUCAGACACUCUGGAUAGCAGCUGGGAUUGUAGUUAUCUUUAUGCUUUGAGCUCUCUAGUUUUGUCUACACAUCUUAUAAAAUAUCCCCUCCUCAUUCUCCUCUAGCUGGAACACUAACCCAAUGGAUGUUGUGGUGAACUUUCUUUGACCAGGCAGAGAAGUGCAGCAUUGGGUGGACCAUGCACAACCAGUUUGAGAAGCACUGCUCUAGGGGUUGGGGGAGCAACAAUAGAAAGAGUGUAGGUUCUGAAUACCUGAAGCAUACAUUUUAGCUCUAGACUGCUUAUAUUGUUGUUACAUGAAAGAGAACUUUUAAUCUGGUUUAAACCACUGGAUCUCUUUAUUCCAGCAAGUGAAUCUAUAUCCAACUAAUAUUUACUCCCAGUCUGUUCUUUCUCACCCCUCUUUCCCUUACUAUAAACCUUUUCUAUAUCAAUUUAUAUCAUUAGUUGCUCAGCCCACAAACCAGAUGUCACUUUUGUUUUCUCUUUUCCUUCCCAUUCAUAGCCAGGCCAUCGUUGUGACUUAUUGGCUGUACCUCCAAAAUAUAUCCCAGAUCUGAUCUCUUCUUAUAAUUUGUACUGCUACAACCUUAGUCAAAGCCACUAAUAUCUCUUAUCUGAACUCCAGUGGUUUACUAGUUUUCUGCCUCUCUUCUUGACACAAUUCAUCUUUCUACAUAGCAGCCAGAGUAAGAUAAAAUCAUAAAUCAGAUCAUAUAACUUCUACCCCCUGUACCAAUGGCUAUCUUUUAUACUCAGAAUAAAAUCCAAAACCUUUAUUUGGCUUCCAAGAUCCUACAAGAUAGAGACCUUACUUCUCAUCUUGUACCCAUCAUUUGAUCUUCAGUCCCUUGAAAAUGCCAAGUCUAUUUCCAUUUCAGGGCCUUUGUGCUUGUUACUAUUGUUUCUUUUCUCUUGGAAAACUGCCCAGAUCUUUCCUUAGCUGAAUUAUUCAGAUCCCAACUCAAAUAUCAUCUCUUUAGAAAAUUCUUUCAGAACCAGGUGUGGUGGUGCACACCUGUAAUCUCAGCUACUCGAGUGGCUGAGGCUGAUGGAUUUCUUGAGCCCAGAAGUCUGAGGCCAGCCUGGGCAAUAUAGCAAGAUCCUGUCAAAAAGAAAAAGGUAUCUCACCAUGAUUAUAUUUUAAUUUCCCUUCAGCAAUUAGAAGUCCCUGAAAUUAAUUUACCUUAUUUGUUGGCAACCUCUGCCUCCUGGGUUCAAGCGAUUCUCCUGCCUCAGCCUCCUGAGUAGCUGGGAUUACAGGCGUGCACCACCACGCCUGGCUAAAUUUUGUAUUUUUAGUAGAGAUGGGGUUUUGCCGUGUUGGUCAGGCUGGUCUCGAACUCCUGACCUCUGAUCUGCCCACCUCGGCCUUCCAGAGUGCUGGGAUUACAGGCAUGAGCCACCAUGGGCCCACAAAGCUAUUUUACUUAGCAUUUUUUUUCCCGAGGCUAAAUUGGGAACUACUGACAAUACUAUUGACAAUACUAAAUAUAUUUUUAAAUUAUUUUACUUAUUUUUGAGACAGGGUCUCACUGUGUCACCCACGCUGUAGUGCAGUGAACCAUCACCACUCACUGCAGUCUCACCCUUCCUGAACUCAGGUGAUCCUCCCACCUCAGCCUCCUGAGUAGCUGGGACUACAGGCAUGCACCACCAUGCCUGGCUAAUUUUUAAAAUUUUUUGUAGAGAUGGAGUUUCGCCAUGUUGCCCAGGCUGGUCUCAAACUUCUGGGUUCAAGUGAUGCAAGUGUCUCAGCCUCCUAAAGUGCUAGGAUUACAGGCGUAAGCCACUAUGCCCAGCCUUUUAUUUUAUUUUAUUUUAUUUAUUUAUUUUUUGAGACAGAGUCUUGUUCUGUUGCCCAGGCUAGAGUGCAGUGGUGCAAUCUCAGCUCACUGCAACCUCUGCCUCCCAGGUUCAAGCGAUUAUCAUGUCUCAGCCUCCCUAGUAGCUGGGAUUACAAGUGUGCACCACACGCGGCUAAUUUUUGUAUUUUUUGUAGAGGCAGAGAGGCAGGGUUUUAUUAUGUUGGCCAAGCUGGUCUUGAACUCCUGGCCUCAAGUGAUCUGCUCACCCCGGCCUCCCAAAGUGCUGAGAUUACAGGUGUGAGCCACCAUGCCCACCAACCUAUUUUUUAUUUUAAAAAAUUGACAGCAUACUAAAUGUUUGUAAUGCAAAUGAUAAAAUUGCUACAAUGAAAACAAGAAGUUGAGAAUUAGAUGAAGAGUUGAUUAAGGGAACUAUGAGUCACUGUGUUAGAGCAUGUAUAUUAUGAAAAUUAUAGCAGAAGUGAUAAAGGGUGACAAUUGUUACCUAUCUUCAAUCAAAAGCUCUUUGAAUAUCUUUCUUUUUUUUAAUUUUAUGAAUUUUUUUUACAGAGACAGGGUCUCACUAUAUUGCCCAGGUUGGUCUCGAACUCCUGGGCUCAAGGGAUCCUCUUGCCUUGGCCUCACAAAGUACCUGGAUUACAGGCAUGAGCCACAGUGCCUGGCCCUCUUUGAAUAUCUUUAAUGCUUUUAGAGAUUAGCAUCAGAGAAUUAUUAAUACUAGAGGGCACAAGGAAUUAGCCAUUGCCAGUGGACACCUACAUAGGUGUGACUAUGUGACUCAGUUUUAAAAAUGUGACACAAUGAAAAAAUUCCUUGGAUGUUAUGGAGGACGAAAAUUUUGUAAGUCCUAUCCAUUCUUUAAUGGAGAAACUAAAAUUUACAAUAUUACUUUAUUUAGCCCAAGAUUUUCUUAAGCUUUGUAUUUUCUAAUUCAGCUUUGGCUUACAGAAUCAUGCUUGAAGUUUGAGACUGCCAGCUUUCAACAGGCAGUUACUAGUGAAACUCUUUGGAAAGAUGAGAAGAUGUUGACAUAAGUGUAAUGUGAGACAAAGCAAAGUAAAAUGUAAUUUUUAAGAAAAUGUUGCCGGGUGUGAUGGUGGCUCAUGUUGCUGUUGGUUGCUAUGGGAGUGAACGAAGGGGGACGAAUGCAGAAAUGAAGACAAAGACAAAAAGAGUAUUUUUGGAAGAAGGGGUCAGGGGACUCCUUGCUUCUAGUGGGCAAGGGCCCUGAGCUUCUACAGCCCUUCAUAUUUAUUAGGUAGAAAGAGCAGGGAGGGAGAGGUAACAGUUGGUCAGCUGCUUGAUUUAUCACAGGUACACAUAAUUGCUUCCUUUGUACAACAGGCUUCAGAUGUUACUAUAGAUAAUCACAAGGAACACUGCGCUUGGGGCAUGACUGCCCUCAGCAACCCUUCUGGCGGCAGACACAGUUGUUAGUUUUCCAACAUCCUGCUUUCAUGAGAACAGUUUUCUGUUUGCUCAUAUAGCCUUCAGUGGUAUACUGAGUUGGUCACGACCUUCAUUCUUUCGGCCUGUAACAUCUCCCCAUUUUUGUUUUUGCAUUAAUUGAAUAAAGGUAAUUGCAGGUUGUGCAGCUCUCAAUUGCCGUUUGGUGGUCCAGCUGAUUUUGCAGACUGUUAACAAAAAACAAAAAUAUAAUAACAUUAAUCCCAUAGUUACAAAAAAGACAUUGAGAUGCUAUUUGAAGUAGGUCCCAGGGUUAAGGCUGUCUAAACCUUGCUGGAAUUCUGCCCAAGCUUUUAAAGAGGGCUGAAACGCUUGAGUCUGCUUAUUCAAGUUAAGGAUUUUACUUUGUAAAUCAUUAAUAUCAAAAGUAACAUUGAAUGUGAAAGCUCCCUGUAAAUGGGCUUUUACAAGGCUCAAUGGAUAUUCACUUUGGUUAUAUACCAAAUUGGUCACACAAAUAUGAGUAUGAUUAAAAUGACAACGCAUUGCUGCUGCAACUGCAAACUUUGUACUUGUUCCCCUAGCCAUAGAACAGUAGUCUUUAACAUUGCCACCUCUGUUUGUAUUUCGGUGUUAAUUUUAUUUUGAAGCAUCCAUGCCUGGUCGACUGUGCAUGUCCAGUUUUCCACAUAUUGAGCUGUUUGAAUGGAGCUGUGCGUUGCUGCUGAGGACAACACAACAGAGGUUAUUAAUGUAACUAAGGAGACUAUAACAAAAAUUAUCAUGCCUAAGGCUCUAUGAGCACGAUGAGUAAGCGGAGUAAAAAGGAGUUUCAUAAGAUGUAAAGCGGGGGUGGCUGCCCAAGGCUAAGAUAAAUUUACAGGAAUUCAUAAUCCAGGAACAUGACCUAGAAUUGUUAGGGUGGAUAUGUCAUGUGUUUGUAUUGUGCUAUGAUUAAGGCAAUGAUACAGUUGACAGGAAUCACAAGUCAAUUGGGCAUCAUCUACCUGGAGGUGGGUUUUUUUUGCUGCUAAGAAAAUAUAAGGAUUAAAAACAAAUUGUAAAUUGAGUGGUAAUAUUUUCUACAAGGGUAACAUUAAAACUGUGUUUAGCACAAUUACUAUUAUUGGAUAGUGUCCCAAUCCAAAUGCUGCCAUUCAUAAAUGGGAGUGCUGCUUUCCAUAUUGACUCCUGAAUUGGACCUCUCUUUCCUUGAUAAUGCCAUUGAGGCAAAGGUGAGCUAAAGCAUGUGCUGUGUCAAGCAAUUUGGGCAGCAGAUUGAGAUUGAAUUGCAAUGUGAUGUAGUGGGAGAUGUUAAAGUUUUGCCACCAGUUCCAGCAAAGUUAAUGCCAUGAGGUCUGAUGCUCAUGUCUCCCAACCAAAUGACCAUGGGGACCCCAGUAAAUAAUGUCUCCCAUUAGCAUGGACUGUUGUCUAGCUAGGGAGCUAAGACACGGGGUCCAAGGAGGGGGGUUAGAAUUAUCAAAGGGAGCCCAUUCUAUAUAAUUAAUACAAUUUGGGUGAUGGGGCCGGGAGUGAUUAGUAACUACACCAGUAAUAUUAGUAGAACUAAGGCCCAAUAGGUACGUAAAUUUUCCAUGGUAACUCAACCAUGCCUGGGAUUGAAUUGCAAGGCAACUGCAGUUGAGCAGUGUAUCCUGGGUGAUGCAUAAAGAAAGGCCCUCCAAUGGAGUGGUAUAAUUGAUACCAUUGUUCUGAGAGUCUAAUUGCUCUGUGUCAGGGGGAGUUAAGGGUCCCGGUGCCCAUGCUCCUUGAUCAUGAUAUAUCUCAGGAGGAGUGUCACCCCGGUCAUACUACCGGGGGGUUAGGAACAUAAGCCCAAUAUGUUUUUGCCUCUGCACAGGGAAAACAUAGCACACAGGAUAUCAUAGCUAGCAUGGCCAUAAACAUGGAGUCAGGGGUUUUUGCCUGACCCUGAUGCUCCAGCAGUUUCUCAUCUUCUUGUGUGGUUUUCUUGAUCUGUAAAACACAAGCAUACCCUCAUCCCCAUGUCAGUAAAUCUACCAGGCCUUUCCAUUGUCCUUCUUCCAGGGAUUUCCAUAAUACUUUUGGGUAAACUUUCCUUUUUCCCUCUAACAUUUGCCAGUGUCAUUCUACCGGAGUCUUAUUAUCUGUACCAGGAGUUAAAAAAUUUAAAGUAAAUAAUGCUAAAUGUAGUAUUGUUUGAGGUGGUAACUGGUCUCCUAUACCUCCUUUUUGUUUUUUCAGCGCAUGUUGUAAUGUUUGAUGUGCCUGCUCUAUAAUUCCUUGUCCUCGAGGGUUAUAAGGAAUUCUUGUUUUGUGAGUGACUGCCUAUAACUGUAAACAAUUUUGAAAAGCAUGACUAACUUAAGCAGGUCCAUUGUCAGUUUUUAAUUGUUUAGGGACCCUCAUAUCGGCAAAUGACAACAGACAAUGUCAUUGGACAUGGCCAGCUGUUUCACCUGUUUGACAUGUAGCAUGCAGCAUAUGAGAAUAAGUGUCUAUAGUCAUAUGAACAUAGCUAAGUUUGUCAAAGGCUGCUAUAUGUGUAACAUCAAUUUGCCAGAUUUCAUUUGGAGCUAAGCCUCGUGGGUUACAUCCUUCUACCGGUAUAACACCAGGGACAUGCUGACAAGUGGGGCAGGCUUGCACAAUAGCUCGAGCCUGGCUUCGAGGCAGAUGAAACAUACAAGUAAGGGCAGAGGUGUUUUGAUGCAGUAAUGCAUGAGAGGCUUCAGCUUGCUGAAACACAGAACCAAUCAAUUUAUCUGCUCUAUCAUUACCUAGAGGUAGUGGUCCAGGAAGUUGUGUGUCAGAGCGAAUAUGAGAAAUUUGAAAAGGAGCAGCAUGAGAGCAAACAGCUCGCUGAAGUCUUAGAAACAAGUUAAACAGCUCUGGUUCUAGGGUGCUUUUAAUAGUAGCAGUCUCAAUGCGACUGGCUACAUUUACAACAUAGGCUAAAUCACAGACAAUAUUAAUAGGAGAGGAAGCAGUGAGCUGUAAAACCUGAAUAACUGCCAUUAAUUCUGAGCAUUGAGCUGAAACACCAGGGAUUUUUAUUGUUUUAAUAUGCUUAGGUCCAUAAAUAGAUGCUCAGACUUUGGAAGAGCCGUCAGUGAAAUAAGUCUGGCCACCUGGAAUAGGCUUGUGAUGAGUAAUCACAGGGAGGAUAAAAGGGUAAACUUUAUAAAAUUGCAAAACUUUGUCUGAUGGAUAAUGAUUAUCUAUUAUUCCUUUGCUUCAGCCAACAUCGUAGAGCGAUGAAGCUCAGUUCCCACAUCCUGACAAGCUUUGAUAAAAUUUCCUAAGCUUUUUAUACAUCUCACAGAUGCCAAUGCAUGUUUACAGUCCGUGUUUGCAUUCUCAAAAGCUAGUUAAGGUUAGCAUUUCUGUAGCCAUGGUAAGAGAAAUCUGACACUUCACUGCCUAUGGUAAUCUUGCAAGAAAAUGUGCAUAGAGCUCCUGUGACCCUUUCAUGAUAUGUAAGAGAUUGUACUGGGACCCUUUCCUCUGGAAUUGUGGCCCAGGUGCGUUUAACAGCCAAGGCACACUGCUUACAAGCAGCGUCUGGGAGUGCUAUUUGAUGUUCUAGGUCUGAAUAGGGGCCACUGCCUAACAGCAUCCUCUGUAAUGUCUCUGUGUCCAGCAGCACGAUUCUAUCUAGCCUGGUCUGCACACAGUUCUUGCCAAUUUAAAUACCAUAUCAGGUAUGCACUAGCAGACAAACAAGUGCAAGCCAAAUGCUUUACAUCAAAGGGUGGAAGGCGCAUAGCGCCAAAUAGAUUCUAGCAGUCCUAAAGUAAAUGGGCUUUGUAUUCCAUUAUUAACUACACUAGCUUUUAAUUCCUUCAGCAACUUAAAUUCUAGUGGGGUGUGUUCAUGAAUAAACUGCUGUGGAUUAUGUGGAUCAGGCCUUACGGAAAUAGGAAAAGCUCAAGGUCCUAAGGGUUCUCCAGCCAUAGCAGUAGAGUGUAAAGUUCUUUGUAUUGGGGUCUCUAUUUCUGCUACUGAAGGAGGCGGUUCAGAUGUUUCUGCUACUAGAGGGGGUGACACAGGCCAAUUUUCAUCCUCCUGCUCCUGUUUAUUAUUUUUAAUUGGCGCUGUUGAGAGAACAGAAAGAUUCUUUCAAAUUUUUUGACUCUGAACAUGACUCCUGCUGUCUAGCAGAAUAAGAAAUGAAUAAUGGCAGGAUGAACUAAACUCCAAAUAUAAAAAAGAAAAUAGCCAAAUUCUUCCCCCAUGUUACCCUGAUUCAGAAACUUCCCGUUCCCAGUACCUCUUUAGGGCACUGACCUUAUAUUAGCUGUCAGCAGACUCGUCGCAGGGUUUCUCAUUCUCGUUCUUCUUGUCAGUGUCAGUUUCUCUGCUCCAGCAGACCUUCACUCACGUCCCUGUCCUAGGUGCCAGUUGUCGCUGUUGGUUGUUAUGGGAGUGAACGAAGGGGGAUGAAUGCAGAAACGAAGACAAAGACAAAAAGUAUUUUUGGAAGAAGGGGUCAGGGGGCUCCUUCUAGUGAGCAAGGGCCCUGAGCUUCUACAGCCCUUCGUAUUUAUUAGGUAGAAAGAGCAGGGAGGGAGAGGUAGCAGUUGGUCAGUUGCUUGAUUUAUCACAGGUAUACAUAAUUGCUUUCUUUGUACAACAGGCUUCAGAUGUUCCUAUAGAUAAUCACAAGGAACACUGUGCUUGGGGUGUGACUGCCCUCAGCAACCCUUCUGGCAGCAGACACAGUUGUUAGUUUUCCAACAUCCUGCUUUCAUGAGAACAGUUUUCUAUUUGCUCAUAUAGCCUCCAGUGGUAUACUGAGUUGGUCACGACCCUCAUUCUUUCGGCCUGUAACAGGCUCAUGCCUGUAAUGCCAGCACUUUUGGAGGCCGAGGCAAGAGGAUAGCUUGAGCUCAGGAGUUGGAGACCAGCCUGGGCAACACGGUGAAACCCCAUCUCUGCAAAAAUUAGCCUGGUGUGGUGGGGUGCGCCUGUAGUCUCAGCUGCUUGUGGGGCUGAGGCGGGAGAAUAGCUUGAGCUCCAGGGGUCGAGGCUGCAGUGAGCCAUAAUGGUGCUGCUGCAUUCCAGCCUGGGUGACAAAGUGAGACUAUCUCAAAAAAAAAAACGGCUGUUAGAUAAAAAUGAAGACAAACAACAUUUGCAAGGAUAUAAAUCUUAACCCAUUUAUUGGGGGUAUAGGCUCUGGUGUCAGAUUUCCAUCUGUCCUGUAUUUUGUAACCACAAAAUUGUCCUGGCUGGAUUAAUUGUAAGGAAGUCCCUUUAAACACAUCUAGACUUCCAAAGUUUGUUUACAUACUAAUUAGUUGUCAUGAAAAGCUGCAUUCAACCCAGGGUCUGAGAUGCCUUUUGUAUAUGAAAAGUGCUUCUCUUUCUGACACUGACUGAAUUACAUACAUAACAGAUUCAUUUAUUUAAAAACAAUUUAAGAGGCUUUUUCUAUAAUGCUGAACCUGCUGUGUGGUAUUUAUGUUUAAUUCUGGUCAAAUUUUCAAAACUAAUAAACACUGCAAUUCAAAACCAUUAAUUAUCAAGCAUAGACCAAGUAUCUGAGGUUAUGAGCACAUAUUUAAGAGGUUAGACUCUGGCAUUCCAGACAUUGCAAAUAAUACUUUUCUCAUUUCUAAAUUUCCUAGAAACAAGUGGAGAUUUGUAAAAGGAAAUAAUACUCUUUAAAACAUUUAUUUUUGACUCAGGAUCUGGCUCUGUUGCCCUAGCUAGAGUGCAGUGGUGCCAUCAUCACAGCUCACACAAUAGCCUGGAACUACUGGGCUCAAACCAUCCUCCCACCUCAGCCUCCCAAGUAGCUGGGACUGCAGAUGCAGGCCAUCAUGUCCCGCUAAGUUUUAUUUUAUUUUUGUAGAGACAGAGUCUAUGUUGCUCAGGCUGGUCCUGAACUCCCGGCAUCAAGUGAUCCUCCCACCUCCCAAUAAAACAUGUACUGAUGGCCAGGCACUUGGCUCACGCCUGUAAUCCCAGCACUUUGGGAGGCCGAGGCGGGCAGAUCAUGAGGUCAAGAGAUCAAGACCAUUCUGGCCAACAUGGUGAAACCCUGUCUCUACUAAAAAUACAAAAAUUAGCCAGGUGUGGUGGCACGCGCCGGUAGUCUCAGCUACUCCGGAGGCCGAGGCAGGAUAAUUGCUUGAACCCCAGAGGCGGAGGUUGCAGUGAGCCGAGAUCGUGCCACUGCACUCCAGCCUGGCGACAGAGCAAGACUCUGUCUCAAAAAAAAAAAAAAAACCAAAAACCAAAAAAUCAAAACCAAAACCAUGUAUUGAUAUCAAAGUUUUUUUAUCCUGGCAGGGCACAGUGGCUCACGCCUGUAAUCCCAGCACUUUGGGAGGCUGAGGCAGGUGGAUCACGAGGUCAGGAGUUCAAGACCAGCCUGGCCAAGAUGGUGAAGACCCGUCUCUACUAAAAAUACAAAAAUUAGCCAGGCGCAGUGGCAGGCGCCUGUAAUCCCAGCUACUCGGGAGGCUGAGGCAGGAGAAUCGUUUGAAACCAGGAGGGUAGAGGUUGCAGUGAGCCAAGAUUGUGCCACUGUACUCCAGCCUGGGUGACAGAGUGAUACUAUGUCUCAAAAAAAAAAAAAAAAAAAAAAGAAAAAGAAAAAAGAAAGAAAGUUGCUUUAUCUUUAAAACUAUAUAUAUUGUUUUCACCCCUACAUAGUCCUUGCCUCCCAGACAUCUCCUCACUAACGUCAGUAGACAAUUUGGCAUCUGAUGGUUUGAAAUAGUUUCUGUAAUCAAAUCCUGAAUAAAAUCCAUUUUAAAGC
rnacentral:lncRNA from 1 species